rnacentral:lncRNA from 1 species
AAAAAAAAAAAAGUGAUUGUCCUUUGGACUGGGCUCAUCUGGCCAUAGUGGACUUGUAGAGCACCCGUCUCGUUAUCCUUCCACUGUCGAGAGAGGGAGGUUUUCGCUGCUCUGUGAAACCAGCCUGACGAGAUGCCCUCCUCUCUAGGAGCCACGUGGAAUGGGCCUUCGCCUAUACCACAUAACCCAACUCCCAACUUGGAACGGGCAAGUUGGUUUGUGCAACACAAGCCCAACCAGAUUAAACAAAGCCCAAGUCCAAUCACCUUAAUGCCCUCACUCGAGUUACAAGCUCUCGUUACUUAGCUCGGCGAUAGUCUAAGUUAGAAAUGCCUAUAUUUAUUACAGAAACUUGGCUUCUUUUAUCAUUGUGGGACUAAAGUGGCUCAUUCUUUCUGCAAGAUUCUGUACAAACUCAACUUAUUACUCGAGCAUCCUGUGUUCCAACUUCCAUCCCCACCCCUUCAAAGGCAAAUAUCUCCAUGAAAAUUCUAUUCUGGAGUCUUAAUGUGAGUGGAUGUGGACAUGUGGUGAACUGGGUCGAUUCGAAGCACCAGAGAAGAGGAUGGGAGGAUGAAAUUGCAGUUAGUUUUACUAUAUAUUGAUUGAAUCCUAUAUAUACUUGCAUUGUUGAUUUCAUAGGCUCCUCUUCUGCCGAGUAUCAGCAGAAGAGGAGGGUUGUUCUCUUUCAACAACCAUUAAAGACCCCAGAUUGUCAGAAUCAGAGGAGGGUUUUGUUGUUGUUGAGAUUGUUUUGGUAAUGGUAUUGAUUUUAUCUUUAUCCAAGCAAACCCCAUUUUCAGAAACUUCGGUCAUGUGUGACCGCGAUAAGUCUUUGGUCUUCCUAACUCCUCCUCACCUCUUGUUUUAAUGCAAUAGCAACGAGCAACGACUCUUGCUUCUCUCGAGAAUGGCCUACACCAUUACCUUUAAAACCAACUCAUUGCUUAAUCCUGCCUCUUCUCACUCUAAUAGCGGUAAUCAUUGAUAUAUAUGGUAAACUAAGAGAAUCACUGGUACAAAUAGCAGUUUUCAACAUGCAAACUAAGAGAAUCACUGGUUAAUACUCAACUUUUAUCUUCUUAUUAUGAAUUUGUAAAUUUGGAAGUUACAUUGCAGAGCUUGCAUGGUGUAAUGUGUAUACGUCAACCACAAAAACAAACAACAUGCUUACAUGCAUUGUUGAUUUCAUAGGCUCCCCUGUUUGCAAACAACUUUUACCAGAAAUCCACACAUCACAAACACUGGGUGGGAAUGUCGAUAAUUUGAUGUAAAUGUAAAUACACAGCUUAAUUAAGAUCGAUCUUGUGUCUAAAAUUGUUUUUUUUUUUUUUUUUUGAUAAAGGUACUGAAAGUCUAAAAUUGGUCUAAACCAAAUACUUUAGAUUCAUCUGCCAUGCAUAUUUCAGUUCAGUAUCUAACUAUAACCUCAUCGUCAUUCACAUUUUUAUAGUAACAAUGCAAGCUAGGCAUUUUUUUUUCCAUGCAACAAAACCACUGGUAAUUGUUUUUCUUUUUGAAUAGUGGGCCAUUCUAUAUGGGCUGAGACUGAGGCCCACUUUACUUGUGAGCCCAAUCCAGCCGUCUAAUCAGCCGUAAAGUACGCCCACCGAAUUCGAAAGUCACUUCGAAUUCGAACAUCAUGACCACCCUAUAAAAUACGUUUUGGCCAAACGUAGAUACGUUCAGGACUUCAGGCCUUCAGGGUAAGAACUUUUUCUAACCUGCUUAUUAUCAGUUAGCUUGUUUUCUCGACUCGAUCACAUCAUACUGUCCUUAAUUAUUGUUCUGGUUUGCAUACUCCAUUUAUUUUGGGUUUUCUGGUUUUACUUAGAGUUAUACUUAUGCAAUACUAACAUACUGCCUAACACCAUGUACAGUAUGUGACCACUGACCAUGAGAGCAGAGCACCUUACCUUCUUCCCCUUUGUAAUACCUUAAUUUGAGAUAUGAUCUCCAGUACAUGAAAUAUUAGUUUUGUUUGCCAGCUUGUGGCAUUAGGCUAUCCCAUCUAUUUAGAUUGCUGUGAGCAUUAAUAUUGACAGUUACUGCACUGCUCUUGUACUCAUUUCAUUCGACAAGACUGACAGUAGUACGUAAACAUACACUUAAGUUUCUGUUACAGAAUGUUGUUGUUCUGCCCCAUUACUAUCAUUUUAGAGCUAGUUUGGUGUACAAUAUGUUUCAGACCUUAGGAGGUGCAGUCUGCAGCCUAGAGACCGCACUUAAUUGGCCAAUAUGUUAUUUUUAUGCUUUCUCUUCCAUAUAAGUUUUGAGUAUAUUUUGAUGGUCAAGGCAUCGAAGCAGGAAAGUCGCACUGUAAAAGAGAAAUUUGAUGCCAAUGAGAUAUUCCUGAUUAUUCAUUUGCAAUGCCAUUCAGUUUUGCGUAACAAGUUUAUAUUUCGUGCUUUAAGAAAUAAACCAUAUAGGGCAUUUAACCAUUUGGGCUCGGAUCUGUUGGAUGAACUUCAUGGCGCAUACGUGGUGAUCCCACAACUUCAUGGCGUAACGCCGUAACAAGUUGAUAUUUUCUGCUUUAAGUCUUGCUGUUCAGUCGAAGUCUUACUUAGGUAGACAUGUUGACCAAUUUCUAUUAUUCUACAAGCAAGUUUCUUGUUGUGACUUAAUUAUUUCGUACUACCAAGCUUGAAAGAUGAAUACGAGCCAAACAAAACUCAUUGUCUGCCACCACGACAAGCUAGAAAACACCUUGCAGGUUUGCAACACCGAACAUGGUACGGACAAAACUCUAUGUGGUAGUGCUCUCGAGUGCUUAGAGCAUCUGUUUCUCUCUUGAUUUUUCAGUCUUCUUGAUUGAUUCAUAAGUUAGCUAAACUUGUGAAUAUAAACGAGCUUUGCUCAUAAUGUUUUGGAUUAAUGACUGUUAGAUUCACAUCCUAAAUUUCUGAAAUGUUAACUCAAUCAAACUGUAUUUCUUGGUAAUUUGCCAUUCACAGAAAUUCCCUUUCUCCUUCCCGUUGUUUGGGUUUUGGGGUUUGUGUAGCACGUUAACACGGUUCAUAGAGAAAUUAUUUGCUCUAUAGCACUUAGGAUCAAAGUGUUCAAAGUAAUUGAGUCCCCUGUUCUGUUCUUGGGGUCCAGAAUACUCCGAGAACAUUUUUAUUUUAGAAAGUACGUAAAAACAUUCAUUACCAAUUAAUUUAUAAAAAAUUUCACAAAAAUGUGUGUCUGCAGUCUGCAUAAUGACAGAAAAAAAAAAUGUACAUGCAUGUAUAAAUAGGAUCAUACUCCCAAAUCACACAUAUUAUCAAAUUUAACAUGCAUGUAUAAAUAGGAUCAUACUCCCAAAUCACACAUAUUAUCAAAAUGUACAUGCAUGUAUAAAUAGGAUCAUACUCCCAAAUCACACAUAUUAUCUGAGCUCUUAAGUGUUACGUACUACCAAGUACCAAGAAGAUAACACUUAAGAGCUCAGAUGGUGAAGCCUUUGAUGUUGAAGAGGCAAUUAUUCUUGAAUCUCAAACUAUCAAACACAUGAUUGAAGAUGAAUGCGCUGAUGACGGCAUCCCUUUGCCUAACGUGACAUCAAAUAUCUUGGCUAAAGUGAUCGAGUACUGCAAGAAGCACGUUGAGGGUGGUCAGUCGUCUACAGAAGAACUCAAGAGCUGGGAUGCUGAUUUUGUUGAAGUUGAUCAAGCAACUCUUUUUGAUCUUAUAUUGGCUGCAAACUAUUUGAACAUCAAGAGUCUCUUGGAUCUUACUUGCCAAACUGUUGCUGACAUGAUCAAGGGAAAAACCCCAGAGGAAAUUCGCAAGACUUUUAAUAUUAAGAACGAUUUUACUCCUGAGGAAGAAGAAGAAGUUCGCAGAGAAAAUCAAUGGGCCUUUGAGUGAUCGAUGAUCGUUUUUCAUCAAAUUAGUCCAUUCAAUUAAUUUGUUUAUACCUGCAGAUUCCAUGAAUUUGUUUAUCUUGAUAAUUAAUUUGUGCAGUGGACUCACUGGCGAGAGCUGAUGAGCAUGCUGGUCUUGUAAUUUUAUUUGGCUUUGCAACCUGACAAUGCACCACAAGGUGCAUGCUGAUCCAUUUUUACCUUGUAAAAAAUGAGGGUUUUAUGGGUUUUGUUAGAACUGACAGUGCACCACAAAGAACAUGUGAAUGUAAAGGUUUUCAUGGGUUGGUUUUGGUUUUGUCAGAACUUCGAAACAUAACUACAAACAUCCAUUAGGAUUCCAGAGACAGACUCUCAUGUUGUCUUGUGCAAUCUCUUGCAUCCUCGUUAUACUUUGCUUGUAUCUGUCUUAUGUUCCAGCUGUCACUUUAAUUUUUCCUCCCCCCCUCCUGGUACAUCACUCUCAUAUCAUAUUACAAAAAUCUCUUACUAGAAUCUGUAAUUAAUUUUUGGUUUUGAUAGUCUAAAGUUUCCCUUUAGAUGUUAAUUCUCUACAACUAAAUUGGUAAUAAAGAAUAAAGAGAUUUUUGGACAUACCCCCCAUUUGAAAGUCGAAAUUUGAGAUACCCCAUUUGAAAAAAAAAUUGAGAUGCAGCCCAAUUCAAGACAGAAGAGCUUUUACAGCCGUAGGUGAGUUUUAUGAUGCAUUAUGAUGGACGAUGGACGGCUAAGAUAACACCACAUCUUGAAUUGGGGGUAUCUCAAAAAAAAUUUCAAACGGGAGUAUCUCAAAUUUCGACCUUCAAAUGGGGGUAUGUCCAAAAAUCUCAAGAAUAAAAAAAAAGUGAUUGUCCAUUGGACCAAUCUGGCCGUAGAGGACUGAUGGAGCACCUGUCUCGUUAUCCUUCCACUGUCGAGAGAGGGAGGUUUUCGCUGCUCUGUGAAACCAGCCUGACGAGGUACUCUCCACUCUAGGAACCAAGUGGCACAGGCCUUCGCCCAUUCCACAUAGCCCAACUCCCAACUUGGAAUGGGCAAAUCAGUUUGUGCAACACAAGCCCAACGAGAGUGUGUGACCCAAGUCCAAUCACCUUAAUGCCCUCACUCGAGUUACAAGCUCACGUUACUUAGCUCGGAGAUAGCUUUAGUUUGAAAGGCAUAUAUUUAUUACAGAAACUUGACUUCUUUUAUCAUUGUGGGACUAUGUAGCUCAUUUUUUUUCUGCAAGAUUUCAGUACCAAUUCAACCAUCCUGUGUUCCAUACUUCCAUCCCACCGGCCGCCCCUUUGCCCUUUGAAGUCGAAUAUCUCCGUUAAAAUCCAUUCUGGAGUCUUAAUGUGAGUGGAUGUGGUGAACUGGGUUGAUUCGAAGCAUCAGAAAAGAGGAUGGAAUUGCAGUUGUACUGUGUCAAAGUCCAAACUCCAGGCACAGAAUGUCAUCUGCUGGCUAUGACAUGUUGUAACUUAAUUAUUACGUACUACUAAGCUUGAAAGAUAAACAAGAGCCAAACAGAACUCAUUGUCCGCUAGAAAACACCUUGCAACACCGAAACAAAGGUAUAGAGUAUGGGCAAAACUCUAUUUGGUAGUGCUCCUGAGUACUGCUUAGAGCAUCUGUUUCUCUCUUGCUCUUUCAGUCAGCUUCUUGAGUGCUUUAUAAGUUUAGCUUAACUUUGUAAUAUAAACAAGCUUUGCUCAAUAAUUUUACGGAAUAAUGACUGUUAAUAAACUAUUAAAUUUAAGAAAUGUCAACUCAAUCAAACUGUAUUUCUAGGUAAUUUACCAUUAUCAGAAAUUUCUUUCCUCCUUCCUGUUGUUUUGGUUUUGGGGUUUAUGUAGCAUGUUAGCACGGUUAAGAAAGAAAUUCUUUGCUCCAUAGCGCGUAGGACCAAAGUGUUCUCCAAAGUCCAAACCAUAUACUCGAUAUGUCAAAUUAUGUGUUUGGGCACCCUGUUCUGUUCUUGACUUCUUGGGUCCAUGAAUAUUCUGUCAUUCUGUGAACAUAUUCAUUUUAGAAAGUACGUAAAAACAUUUGGUAACAUUGAAUUUAUAAAUUUAUUUACAAAAAAUGUGUGUCUUCAAUCUUCAUCACAUUGAUAAAAAAAAUGUACAUGUAUAAGUAGGAUUAUACUCCCAAAUCACACAUAAAAUAUCAAUCUCUUUGUACAUCAACUGGAAUAAUUUACAGAUAAAUAUCAAGUAACGAUCAUGGCCUGCCUCAGGCCGGUUGUACUAUGAAAACAGAGAUCCAAUUAAACAUGUGGUUACACCAAUUGGAUCUCCAGUAAGGAUAGAGAAUAGGAGACUAAUGACCACUUUUGCAAUCUUCCAACACUUGCUAAUCAUCCCUUUACCUGAAUUUGAACCACGAAUGUUUGUGAGUUGGAAAUUCGUCGGGUUAGUUAUCUCCAUUGCUAAGUCAUUCUUCUCACCUUCACCAAAGUAUUUCUUCUCCCAGUUCUCGACUGCCAUUUUUUUCACACAUGAUACAUAAAAUUCAUAGCCCGUACUGGAUCUGUAUGACCAUCCUCUGACGUUCCCCCAAAGUGUCCUUGUGCGACACUUACCACACUUCGAUGAUAAUUUGUCAUGCAGACGCAGUUCUACCCCAUCAGCUUGUAAGGUGCAGGGUAGAUUAGCGCAAAGGGGAUGCAAAUCAUGACCAGUAGCAUAGCAAUGAUACACAAAUCCUAGGAUGUCCCUUCCACAUGCAUUGCAGUAUCUGUUAUAGGUAAUUGGACUUUCAAGAAAUUCGAAAGAUCGGUUUUUGUAGAAAGGGUGAGACAUAGAUGAAGAAUACAAUGCACACUCUUUGUGGAGAUCGAAGUUACAGUCUUCGCAUCUGUAUCUAGGUCCCCAACCUGGUUCUUUGCAACCGUCACACUUGUAAGGUGUUUUGUCACACAAUAGUUUAAGAUUGUGGCCGUGGCUAAAGUGUUUUAUGUCCGUAUAAAUCAUGCUUUAUAAAAUCCGGCUUGACGGUAAACUUCUUUACUGAUCAGAACCACCCUGCAAUAAAAAUACAUAAUGGUUCAUCGAUCAAUUUUACCAAAUGAAUUAAUCACACACAUACUAAUACAAACCCAUGUACAUUAUUUCAUGAUGUCUUUGGACGAUAUAUAUGUUGACACUGAGAACAUGCAUAACUAAGGAAGUAAUAAACAAUAAAACAACAUAUUGACAAGUUUAGAUAGAGAUUAAUAGCAAGCAAAAAAAAAGAUAGAGAUUAACAAACCAAUAAAUUGAUAUGAUGAUUGGAUCCAAGUACAAAUGUUCGUAAAACCUUUUGUGAACAAACAGUACUAGCUUAAUUAGCUAGCUUUUAACACAAUAUAAUUGAUUUGAACAUCCACUCCAACAAAGAAACCUUGCUAGUUAUGGACUGAUCAAGUUUUGGACAAAAGCUUAGGGAGGCAAUAAGGUGAUUCGAUCUAUUCAUAUAUAAAAAGCAGGAUCUUGUUUGCAAUUAGCUAACUGAUGGAUAAAUGAACAAUUAAUAAUAUUUGAGCUAGUGUUUGUAAGGUUUCAUUGGUAUGAGAUGCAAUAGAGCUAGUAUUUAUAAUAUAAUAUGCUCUAACAUAGUUGACAGGUUACAUGUAGAACUUUCCUAGAGGCUUCUUAACAUUGCGUGAAAAAUUUCGCUAGCUAGUGUCGGCCGACCAUUUGUAAGAGUAGGAGCAGGAAUAUUCAGUUAUAUACAUAUCUUAACUCUUAUAAGAUCACGAAUACAAAAUAUUUGUUGCAUGACCAUGUAGUUUCUUAAUCAUGUCAACUAGAAGACGACACUGAUUUUCUUUGACUUGUUAGAGAUUUUUGGACAUACCCUCGUUUGAAAAUCGAAAUUUGAGAUACGCCCAUUUGAAAAAAAAAAAUUGAGAUACCCCUAAUUCAAGACAGAAGAGUUUUACAGGUGAGUUUUAUGAUAGACGGCUAAGAUAACACAACAUCUUGAAUUAGGGGGUAUCUCAAAUUUUUUUCAAAUGGGUAUCUCAAAUUUCGACUUUCAAAUGGGGGUAUGUCCAAAAAUCUCUACUUGUUAUUUACGUGUAGAACCAUAUGUGGUAUCAACUAUAAAAGUCAGUCGUCUUAAACUAAAAGAUUCUCUUGCAUUGAGAUUUCAUAGGAUUGAAUUUUUUUUAGAGCUUAUCAAGAUGCCUGCGGCACUCUAUUUGGAGAAUAAACAAUUAACUGUCAACUACACCCACUUAAGUUCAGUCAUUCAAACUGUUGAAUGAAAAACAAACGACAAAUAAAAAAUUCUGUCUAAGACAACAUUGAUAUUAUAGAUUUAUAGUAUUGUAAUCUGUGGAAAGUUGAUCAGAUACUAUCAUCACACAUGAGAUCGAACCAAAACUAAAAUAAGAUAUAACUAAAAAUAAAACAAAUCGUAUCAUCAAAUUCAUCACAUAAACAUAUACAGUAUCGUAAUUUGUCUACAUUUGUCAACUACAAUACAUCACAUAAUCCUCAUUCUGCCUCAUCACCACCACAUUUUCUUGUACGAAUACAUUUACCUGAAAAAUUUUAGUUUGUGUUUUUUAGCAGUCAAUAUGUGUUUCAUACGUAAACAUUUUAUACUCAACGAGGUUUAAUUUCCUAAGAAAAUAUUUCUAUCACUCAGAUAUUCUAGGAAAUGAAUGUUGAUUAAAGUAAUCAACCGACCUUUUGAAUUUAUGUGAUCGGGAGAAUGUGACUGGUGUGUGUGUCUAGCUUCUUUCAAACUAUCAAAGACGACCAAGCUAACGAAUGGCAUGCCAUAUCCCCAUAUCCCAACCAACUGCAUGACUGAUGGACACAUGCCACUAUCAAUCACACUCAUUGGAAACUUGGGUCACAAGACUCAACAACCCAGAUUUUAGCUCAAGGGCCUUUUCUUUUAUUUCCCUCUAAAAUAGGCCCAAGGGGUUCCCUUUAAUUCACUUGAAAGUUGAAACAUGGACAGUAGUAAGAUUAUAAGAUUACCCAUUUACGCAAGAGGUGUAAACAGAGAAGAAUGAAUCAAAAGUUUGGAGGGGGAAAGCAACCAACGGGCACGCCAUCACUCGGGUGGUCAUGCGUGGUGGUGAUUGUAUCUCUUCUCACUGGUGCUUCUGUAGUUCACAACAUCUUCAAGCCCGAUCUAGUAUGUUGUUUACUUCUUUAAUUCUUAUUUUUCUUAAUGCAUGUCAUAUGUUUGAUGAAAUGUCUCUAUGAGCUCUUACUUACAAAACUUCUUUACUUGAAAUUGUUGGCGGUUUUAUUAAUUGAAUUGUUUGUGUUGACAGACAUUGCCACCAGUGGAGAGUCUUGGAACUAAGAGUGAUCAACAAGAGAAACAAUGAGCUUGAUUUGUUUGUUUUUUUUUAUAAUAAGAAUCAUCUUUACAAGAGUGAACAAUGUGCUUAAUUGUAAUGAACAUUGUUGUUUGGGAAUCAUGUAAAAGUAUAUAUAUUUGAAUUGGAUAGUACAUUAUGUGAUGAGUUGCUAAGGAAACAGUUUACUGGUUUAUAUGGAUUGUUGACCAAAGAGGUUGGGAUACUGCACUUUAUUAAUAUUGGAAUAGAACGGGGUACAGAUACAUGUAAAAGGUCAGAAUACAAAAGAUUUAACAGAAAACAAGGUGGUUGAAAUGCGCAUAGUUUCAAACCCAAAAGUUGGUUUGCUCCAAAUGUCUCGGCACCUUAUAGAAAGUGGAACAUCUUAUCUAUAAUAUACUUGUCUGUGCCCAAAUUUGUUGGAGACUAUCAUGAUUGUUAGCACUGAAAAAGAUAUGACAAGUUAAACACUUAAGCAGUGUAGUCCCAUGGUGUCCCUCAAGCAAAUCAUUUACACAAUGUGAUUCCACAUCAUCCUCUUUGAAUGUGAAGGAUUUCUAUCAUGAUUUUGAGCGGAUGAGGAGAGGGAAAGUUUUUUGCAGAUGAAGAACAAGAACUGGCAGAAUAAUGAGUUUUGGAGGAGAAAUUUUAAAACUAAAAAAAAAAAAAGUGAUUGUCCUUUGGACUGGGCUCAUCUGGCCAUAGUGGACUUGUAGAGCACCCGUCUCGUUAUCCUUCCACUGUCGAGAGAGGGAGGUUUUCGCUGCUCUGUGAAACCAGCCUGACGAGAUACCCUCCUCUCUAGGAGCCACGUGAAAUGGGCCUUCGCCUAUACCACAUAACCCAACCAGAUUAAACAAAGCCCAAGUCCAAUCACCUUAAUGCCCCCACUCGAGUUACAAGCUCUCGUUACUUAGCUCGGCA